rnacentral:rRNA from 1 species
AGUGAACGCUGGCGGUAGGCCUAACACAUGCAAGUCGAACGGCAGCACAGUAAGAGCUUGCUCUUACGGGUGGCGAGUGGCGGACGGGUGAGGAAUACGUCGGCAUCUACUUUUUCGUGGGGGAUAACGUAGGGAAACUUACGCUAAUACCGCAUACGACCUACGGGUGAAAGCAGGGGAUCUUCGCACCUUGCGCGAUUGAAUGAGCCGAUGUCGGAGUAGCUAGUGGGCGGGGUAAAGGCCCACCAAGGCGACGAUCCGUAGCUGGUCUGAGAGGAUGGUCAGCCACACUGGAACUGAGCCACGGUCCAGACUCCUACGGGAGGCAGCGGUGGGGAAUCUUGGACAAUGGGCGCAAGCCUGAUCCAGCCCUACCGCGUGGGUGAAGAAGGCCUUCGGGUUGUAAAGCCCUUUUGUUGGGAAAGAAAAGCAGCAGGUUAAUACCCCGCUGUUCUGACGGUACCCAAAGAAUAAGCACCGGCUAACUUCGUG